UAGGAAGUGGCCAGAGCCAACGGAUGACCCACUCUAGGACAAGUGAUAAGCUUGUGCUGCAGGAUAAAGUGUUAACAUCAGUGUGGCCAAGGUCAAAAGGCAGGAGGAGGCAGAGGGAGGUUUGACUACAGAAGAAAAGAAGGCAGUGUGACCAUGGGAGUAGAGGUUGAGGUGAUGCAGCCACAAUUAAAAAAUUCCAGCAAUCUCAAGAAGCUGGAAGAGGCAAGAAUAAGAUUGUCCCCUACAGCAUUCAGAAGGAGCCAGCCCUGCCAACACCGUGACUUUAGCCCAACGAGACCCACUUCCGACGUCUGACUCCAGAACUCAUAGCAAAAAUUGAUUAGCAAACAGACCUGACUUCUACAGCUGAAGCCUUCUCUUUUUCCAAGACCAAAACCCAGUAAAUGAACGGCAUCACAAUCUCUGAGCCAUGGAGCACAUUUUCCCGCCCUUUGCUUCCAGAAGAAAAAUAUUUAGAGGCUGAUCUUCGGGAAACUUUCUCUUGGCAGGUGCAGUCUAGCUUACAAAACAGGAAAAUCAUUCACUGGAGAAUUUGCAUAUGGAAUACAGAUACAUUGCAUGGAAAGAAAGCCAACCUGGAGAUUGACAGGCAGCUGUGGUGUGAAUGCCUCAUGAUGGUGAAAGUCAGGAUGGUGGAUGGAUGCUGCACUGCUUUGUUGAUGCAGUUAUGAACAUUAUUGGGCAAUAUGCAUAUGCAAGUGUGGUCCACAUUCAGCACAUUUACCUUGUGUAACCUACACAGGUUCAGUAAAGAGAUUUGUAAGACCAUGGUAUUCCCCCCUGGUAGACCCAAAUGCUCACUUUCAGCUCAGUUUUAUCACAGAGGCUGAGGGAAUAAUAUCUUUAGCUUUUAAUAGCA